GUAGGUGAACCUGCGGAAGGAUCAUUAAAGAGUUCGGGUCUUCACGGGCCUAACCUCCAACCCUUUGUCUACCAAACCACACGUUGCUUCGGCGGGUCUGUCUUUCAGACUGCCGGGGGGUUACACCCCUGGCUCGUACCCGCCGGUGGCCAACUCAACCAAAACUCUUAACUAAAUCGUGUCUGAAUACUUAAAAAAGUAAUAAUUAAAAACUUUCAACAACGGAUCUCUUGGUUCUGGCAUCGAUGAA
rnacentral:misc_RNA from 1 species